rnacentral:tRNA from 6 species
GCGCCGCUAGCUCAGUUGGUUAGAGCAGCUGACUCUUAAUCAGCGGGUCCGGGGUUCGAGUCCCUGGCGGCGUAC